GGAAAAAUUGCUCGGUGGUAGAGCACAUGCUUAGUGUGCAUGAGGUCCUGGGUUCAAUCCCCAGUACUUCCA
rnacentral:tRNA from 1 species